UGGAUGUAAAAAUUUGUAACAAGGUUUCCGUAGGUGAACCUGCGGAAGGAUCAUUACCGAGUGCGGGUCCUUUGGGCCCAACCUCCCAUCCGUGUCUAUUGUACCCUGUUGCUUCGGCGGGCCCGCCGCUUGUCGGCCGCCGGGGGGGCGCCUCUGCCCCCCGGGCCCGUGCCCGCCGGAGACCCCAACACGAACACUGUCUGAAAGCGUGCAGUCUGAGUUGAUUGAAUGCAAUCAGUUAAAACUUUCAACAAUGGAUCUCUUGGUUCCGGCAUCGAUGAAGAACGCAGCGAAAUGCGAUAACUAAUGUGAAUUGCAGAAUUCAGUGAAUCAUCGAGUCUUUGAACGCACAUUGCGCCCCCUGGUAUUCCGGGGGGCAUGCCUGUCCGAGCGUCAUUGCUGCCCUCAAGCCCGGCUUGUGUGUUGGGUCGCCGUCCCCCUCUCCGGGGGGACGGGCCCGAAAGGCAGCGGCGGCACCGCGUCCGAUCCUCGAGCGUAUGGGGCUUUGUCACAUGCUCUGUAGGAUUGGCCGGCGCCUGCCGACGUUUUCCAACCAUCUUCCAGGUGACCUCGAUCAGUAGUUGA
rnacentral:rRNA from 1 species